rnacentral:rRNA from 1 species
GUGGCGAACGGGUGAGUAACACGUGGGCAAUCUGCCCUGCACUCUGGGACAAGCCCUGGAAACGGGGUCUAAUACCGGAUAACACCCCCUCUCGCAUGGGAGGGGGUUGAAAGCUCCGGCGGUGCAGGAUGAGCCCGCGGCCUAUCAGCUUGUUGGUGAGGUAGAAGCUCACCAAGGCGACGACGGGUAGCCGGCCUGAGAGGGCGACCGGCCACACUGGGACUGAGACACGGCCCAGACUCCUACGGGAGGCAGCAGUGGGGAAUAUUGCACAAUGGGCGAAAGCCUGAUGCAGCGACGCCGCGUGAGGGAUGACGGCCUUCGGGUUGUAAACCUCUUUCAGCAGGGAAGAAGCGAAAGUGACGGUACCUGCAGAAGAAGCGCCGGCUAACUACGUGCCAGCAGCCGCGGUAAUACGUAGGGCGCAAGCGUUGUCCGGAAUUAUUGGGCGUAAAGAGCUCGUAGGCGGCUUGUCACGUCGGUUGUGAAAGCCCGGGGCUUAACCCCGGGUCUGCAGUCGAUACGGGCAGGCUAGAGUGUGGUAGGGGAGAUCGGAAUUCCUGGUGUAGCGGUGAAAUGCGCAGAUAUCAGGAGGAACACCGGUGGCGAAGGCGGAUCUCUGGGCCAUUACUGACGCUGAGGAGCGAAAGCGUGGGGAGCGAACAGGAUUAGAUACCCUGGUAGUCCACGCCGUAAACGGUGGGAACUAGGUGUUGGCGACAUUCCACGUCGUCGGUGCCGCAGCUAACGCAUUAAGUUCCCCGCCUGGGGAGUACGGCCGCAAGGCUAAAACUCAAGGAAUUGACGGGGGCCCGCACAAGCAGCGGAGCAUGUGGCUUAUUUCGACGCAACGCGAAGAACCUUACCAAGGCUUGACAUA